GAUGAACGCUAGCUACAGGCUUAACACAUGCAAGUCGCGGGGCAGCAUGGGGGUUGCUUGCAAUCCCCGAUGGCGACCGGCGCACGGGUGAGUAACGCGUAUCCAACCUGCCCUUCACCACGGGAUAACCCGGCGAAAGUCGGACUAAUACCGUAUGUUGUCCAUUGACGGCAUCCGAUUUGGACGAAAGGCUUGGCGGUGAGGGAUGGGGAUGCGUCCGAUUAGCCAGACGGCGGGGUAACGGCCCACCGUGGCUACGAUCGGUAGGGGUUCUGAGAGGAAGGUCCCCCACACUGGAACUGAGACACGGUCCAGACUCCUACGGGAGGCAGCAGUGAGGAAUAUUGGUCAAUGGGCGUAAGCCUGAACCAGCCGAGUAGCGUGCAGGAUGACGGCCCUAUGGGUUGUAAACUGCUUUUAUGCGGGGAUAAAGUGGCCCACGUGUGGGCUUUUGCAGGUACCGCAUGAAUAAGGACCGGCUAAUUCCGUG
rnacentral:rRNA from 1 species